GAUGAAGAACGUAGCGAAAUGCGAUAAGUAAUGUGAAUUGCAGAAUUCAGUGAACCAUCGAAUCUUUGAACGCACAUUGCGCCCGGCAGUAUUCUGGCGGGCAUGCCUGUUCGAGCGUCAUUUCAACCAUCAAGCCCCCGGCUUGUGUUGGGGACCUGCGGCUGCCGCAGGCCCUGAAAACCAGUGGCGGGCUCGCUAGUCACUCCGAGCGUAGUAAUACAUCUCGCUCAGGGCGUGCUGCGGGUUCCGGCCGUUAAAAAAGCCUUAUUUACCCAAGGUUGACCUCGGAUCAGGUAGGAAGACCCGCUGAACUUAAGCAUAUCAAUAAGCGGAGGA
rnacentral:misc_RNA from 1 species